ensembl:ncRNA Y45F10B.60 ncRNA
AAGCUUAAGCCUAAGCCCAAGUCAAAGCCUAAAGCUGAGCCUAAGCCUAAGCCUAAA